GUCGUAACAAGGUUUCCGUAGGUGAACCUGCGGAAGGAUCAUUCACACAAUCCAAUGUCAUGUUUGUGCACGUAGCGUUGUGGCCAUGUACAUGACGUUCAGACGUCUACGUGCAUGGCUAAGGGUGGGAGGUGGAUUUUUUGAUUACGGUCAGCAAAGUUCGCCUGCCACUGUCUUGACAAUAAAUUUUCACCAUCUGAAUAUUUGCCACUUUCGUUGAUGGCUUACAGUUGUAUGAACAACACAACUUCCAGUGAUGGAUGUCUCGGCUCGAACAACGAUGAAGGGUGCAGCGAAGUGUGAUAAGCAUUGUGAAUUGCAGGAUUCAGUGAACCAACAGAAAGUUGAACGCAUAUUGCUCUUUCGGGUUAUUCCUGAAAGCAUGUUUGCUUCAGUGUCUUUUGUUUUUUCUGCGGGGCGUGUCACUCAGGUGUCACGUUUUCGUGUUUUCAUGUUUCAAUGCAGCAUUCGUUGCAUUGACACAUGUGUCUUGGUGGUGCUGGACAUGCGCAACGUUGAACAUCUUCUUCAGGAGUGAUGUUACGUGUGAUCAAGCCGCCCCUGUGUGUUUUUUUUACCCUAAGGCAUGAAGUUAAGCCAGAGAACCUGCUGAAUUUAAGCAUAUAAGUAAGCGGAGGAAAAGAAACUAAAUAGUAUUCCCUUAGUAAUGGCGAAUGAAUUGGGAUAGGCUCAGCAUGGAAAUCCAGGCUUUCCAGCCUUGACUUGUGAUCACAUGAUGCAAUACCAGCGCGGGCGCAGAUGCAAAUUCCUUGGAAAAGGUUACCAGCGCAGGUGAGCGUCCUGUCUGUCAUUUGCAGUCCCGCGCGUACGGUAUGCACUCUCAGAGUCACGUUCCUUGGGAGUGGAGCGCAAAGUGGGUGGUAAACUUCAUCUAAAGCUUAAUAUAUGUUUGAGACCGAUAGCGAACAAGUACUAUGAAGGAAAGAUGCAAAGGACUUUGAAAAGAGAGUUAAAAGUGCCUGAAAUUGCUGGAAGGGAAGUGAGUUGGACCAGUUUUGCUUGGUGAGAUUGGCGCAUGGCGCUGGCAUUCAUGUCAGUGUCUGCGUUGUUGCUUGCCUCGUCUGUCAGAACCAGUUCACUUGUGAAUUAAACUUUUUGCGUAGGUCGCAUUCACUAUCAGUGUGUGUUCACGCAUCUUGGGAUUUACAAAUGGAUUGUGUUCAAACGCCAAGUUAUUGAAGUGACAGUUCAUUGCUGUUGUUCGAUUCUCGGCGUUCGUUUCUGACUACAUGGUCUCGUUCGACCCGUCUUGAAACACGGACCAAGGAGUCUAACAUGUGUGCAAGUUUUCGGGUUUUUAACCUGCAAGCGCAAUGAAAGUGAAUGCUUGGAUAUGUGCACCUGCAACCGACCGUGAUCUUGAGAGUGGUUUGAGUAAGAGCGCAAAUGUUAGGACCCGAAAGAUGGUGAACUAUGCGUGA
rnacentral:rRNA from 1 species